AUCUACUGCCAUACCACCCUGAACACUCCCGAUCUCGUCUGAUCUCGGAAACUAAGCAGGGUCGGGCCUGGUUAGUAUUUGGAUGGGAGACCCCCUGGGAAAACCGGGUGCUGUAGGCU